UUCUAAAUUCCAAACUGUGUUUGGUGAUGAAAAAUGAUGACAGAUGAGUACUCAUCACCAAACAAAGUUUGGAAUUUAGA